GCCGGGGUGGCGAAAUGGUAUACGCAGAGGCCUUAAGAGCCUCCGAACGCAAGUUUAUGCGGGUUCGAGUCCCGCCCCCGGCA
rnacentral:tRNA from 1 species